UUUCUUCUUUCAAUUGAAAUAUUUCAAAUCAAUAAUUCCAAUAAUAAAUACCAAACCAUAAU
rnacentral:snoRNA from 2 species